CUUACCAAGGCAACGAUGCAUAGCCGACCUGAGAGGGUGAUCGGCCACACUGGAACUGAGACACGGUCCAGACUCCUACGGGAGGCAGCAGUAGGGAAUCUUCCGCAAUGGGCGAAAGCCUGACGGAGCAACGCCGCGUGAGUGAUGAAGGUCUUCGGAUCGUAAAACUCUGUUAUUAGGGAAGAACAUAUGUGUAAGUAACUGUGCACAUCUUGACGGUACCUAAUCAGAAAGCCACGGCUAACUACGUGCCAGCAGCCGCGGUAAUACGUAGGUGGCAAGCGUUAUCCGGAAUUAUUGGGCGUAAAGCGCGCGUAGGCGGUUUUUUAAGUCUGAUGUGAAAGCCCACGGCUCAACCGUGGAGGGUCAUUGGAAACUGGAAAACUUGAGUGCAGAAGAGGAGAGUGGAAUUCCAUGUGUAGCGGUGAAAUGCGCAGAGAUAUGGAGGAACACCAGUGGCGAAGGCGACUUUCUGGUCUGUAACUGACGCUGAUGUGCGA
rnacentral:rRNA from 1 species